CCGUGAAAGCGUGGCCUAU
rnacentral:snRNA from 1 species